CUUACUUCAAAGCUUGUGAUUUUCAUUGAGCGAAUGUUAAGGAGCAGUACAUAAUGCCAGUUAAGAAAACCUGUGUAGGCUUUGUCAGCUUAAUUCAAAACAAAACUAACAUUCACCUGUAAAUUAAUCUGUACAUCACACAGCUCUUUUUUCUUCAAAAGGUCUGACUCUAAACUCUAGACAGUCUGGCGGUUUUAUAUAGUUUUUCUUUAAAGAAGGACAGCAGCAAGAGACACAAGUACUGCCCUUCGUCUUGCAGUAAAGCCAGCCUCUUUCAUGUCAAGAUGUAUAAACAGAAACCUCAGGGCCUGUCUGUGUGCAAGGGCAGCCAGUCCUGAGCUCCACAAACCGCAGCAAAGGAGGAGAGAUAAAUGAGUGAGAAAAUAAUGUUUGGAGAGCUUUGGGGUUUUUAGCCAUAAAAGCUUUUGCUACAACAAUUGUAAUCUCUAUCCAUCACCAGAUGAUGAUCUGAAUCAAGUACCAGAAACCUGAAGGGAUAUUUGUUGACAGGACUCAUGCUUCACACCUGACUCACUGCUGCAACCUCCACGCUGACUCGGGAGAUACGAAGACGAGCACACACAUCCUCCGAAACGUGUGCUGUCAGCCGUCCACUUCUUUUCAAUCUGCAGGCCUGCCAUGCAGCUACCUUCAGAGCUGCAGCAUCAGAGGACCACUCAGCUCUGGGCCGUUUGCAGGCAGGCCCGCAGGCGGCUGGCCAGUCUACAGGGGUUGCUGGUGCGUGGUGAGCCGAGGACACCCUGGCCGACCUAAGCCCUCCCCACCCCGGGUGGCGCUUGGCCAAUUGUACGCUGCCCCCUGGGAACUCCCAUCCACAGCCAGCAGUGGAAUAGCUUGGACCCAAACCGGCGACCUCCAGGCUACAGGGUGCAUCCUGCACUCCACGCGGAAUGCCUUUACUGGAUGCGCCACUCGAAAGCCCAGGUACAGGUUUUAUUUGUCAAAGUGUAAAAUAUGGAUUAAUGGUCAGCAUGCUAAGAUACAUAAGGCUAAACUAAUUGUAGACUGUUAACAAUAUAAUACGAUGUGCAGUAUACAUUGCAUUGCUUUCUGAAAUGCUGCCAUUGUUUCAUUUGUUUUAAAUCUGUUAGAAUUUGGAUUGUGCCUCUUUUUAGUGUUAACUGUGACUUGAGAAAAGUACAAAUUGUUGUGGACAGCAAAUAAGUAACUUCUGCCAUUCAACACUUAACAUUUUUUACACUGUUCAGUAGCAACUUUUGAAUGACAGAUCCUUAAUUAAAUUUUAAUGCUGGAUUUGCAAUAGUAGAUUGUAGCUCUCGUGGAAGUGGUCUAUGUCUUUUUGAAAAUAAAUGGUAUGGGCAACUCAUACUGGACCCUGUUCUCUUCUCUCCUGUCUCCCAGGAGAUACUCUUCAGUUUUGCAGCUGGGAGGGACUGAGGCGUACAGAUGUGAAAUAACUUUCGACAGGGUCUCAUACUAGUCUAAGUGGGUGCAGUAGAGUUUGAAGCCAGAAUUCUUCAGCUCCCACACCUCUCAUCUAACCCCAAGGUCACUCUGCCUCCACAGUUCUCCAGGCUUUAACAAUAACAUACCAUUUAGAUACCCGUGUAGUCAGACCACAGCAAAAGGGAUAAGGAACAAAUAUUGCACAGUUGUACUAAUAUUGAUUAUCGUUAUUAUUGGUUCAUAACAUUGUAUAUUAAGAAGGCUACCACUGUGCUGGCAUUUUACCAGUGACUCAUUGUUGCUGCGUUUGUGCUGCCAUUGUCUGUUAUUUUAACCAUUGCACAUUCACAAAAUCCUGUUACAAACUGAAAGACCCAUGUUUAGAAGAAGGUCUCUCUCUUGUUUGGUGCACUGGAAUUUCCUCCACUAUCCUAUACAGCACAUGUUUUUUCCCUCCUUCAGUUUACUUUAAGCUCUAAUGUUUCUUGAGACUCUCACAGUGUAAUGUAGAACUUUGCUCUUUGCCAUAAUUAAUCUUUGUCAUGUUUAUUGAAACUCUGCAGCCCUGCACAUUUGUACUACAAACAGCUUUGUGCAUGAGCUAACAGGAUAAUAGAUUUGAACAGGCUAUCUAGGUUAGUUUAUGAUGUGAUGCAGCUAGACUUUAUCUAAUAGAUUAAUUCACUUUCAUUUCCAGACUGGUAUCUUAAUUUAUGACUCCAGCUUCACAUGUUGUUCAAUCUUGUACAUGCAACUGAAUACUUUUUUUUAGCAGCAAAUUAGUUUACUCAUGCACACCAGUACCACACUGAAAGUGAAUAACUCAAUAUCUCAAGGCAGCUACAAUUAGACAUACUUAGAUUAUUGCUGUUAGACAGUAGAAAAGAAAAAAAAAUACCAAAAACUUUUGUCACUAUUUUGUCAAACCAUCUUUUUUUAUCCACCGCUGGGGAUGAAAUUCCCUGCGAAGGGCAUAUAGUGGAGGAGGUCUGUGACAGAGCUAAAGAGGGAGGAGCCACUGCCAUGUGUCUAGACCUGUGGUCACUAGGCCAAGUUCCCAGGUUGCUGCACAACAAGUCACAGUGGUUUGCCUCAUCUCCUGUUCCGCUCCCCCUGGUGAACCAGGCGUCUCUGCACAGUCGCCGGGGCCUCUCAUCUCUGCCGGCUGCUGCAGCCACCCAGUCACCGUCCUGCACUCCUGGAGCCCUGUCAACUUUGCUUGGGUCGCCUGUUACUGGUUCUUGGUCCCUUACUGGAGGCGCCGGAAUGUGGAACGACCCGCCCUCCUACCCACCCGCAAGAAGUUAAAAUGAUGUUGGGGGUGAAGAGUUGGCCUUGGAAUGGCCAAGUGUGCAAGACACAAGAGGGAGGAUAUGUGACAGAGCAGAGGCUCGGCACAUGGGUGUGUGGGUGAGAGUUUGGUGGCUGGCGGCCAUCUUGAUGAAGGAGGCUGGAACCAAGAUGGCCACCCUUUGCACAGCCACAUGGCAUUGACUGAUUAAUUGUUUGAUUGAUGUUCAAAUGGAAAACUGUGGAAUGUGGCCAGGUGGGGAUUGGAUGAUUGAUUAAAUCAAUCAAGCCCCUGGCCACAUAUAAAAGGGAACAAAUUGGUGUUUGUUUGGUGAGAGUGCAGUGGAGCAGAGAGAGCAUGUCGGAGAGAGCGGAAAACCCUGUGGUAACCGUAGCUUGGGUGUUGUUUUGGGGGGUUAUUUGUUUUGAAUAGUUUGUAGGGUUUUUGUUCAACCCUUUCGACUGCAAUUUCAUGUCUGGGUUUUCUAUUUUUGCAAUACUAUACCACAAGGUCUUACCUUAUGUAUGUUGCACUUCACACAUUUUUGCUUAUAUAUAGUGAACCACAUAUCCAAUUGUUGUUAAAACUUAAGCAAUUAAAUAAUAUUAAGCCUUUUGUUUGAAAGGUUUGUCUGUGUUUUGGUAGAGGUACGUCUGUCUGCCUGGCAGUGUUUCUUAUGAGGGAGUUCAUUGCCCAGCCUAGUUACCUCCCUCAAAGGAAGUGCCUGUCAGUAGUGUCUGCACUUCAGUCAGCUUGGGAAUAGAACAACACCUUCGGAAGCCUGCAGGCAGCCUGCCAGGUCAUUGAGUUUGCUGCUUGAGUCAUACAAAGACUUCUGUGUUGACAGGGAUUUAUGAAAGGAUAAUGUCAGCCCUCGCACAAAACAGAGUGUGUCUAUGGCAAAGCAGGAAGUUCUUGUAGAUUAAAUUGUACUUGUGCUUAUAUUUUGCAAAGUAGGUUAUAUUGAUUCACAUUGAUUUUAUUAACUUUCUUAGAUUAUACACAUAGGGUCAACCAGGGUAUGUGUGGUGGGAAACUCUGUAACCUGAUUUCAAACUGAGAUAACUUAAUGCUGAUUGAAUGCAAGAUUUAGCUAGAAAUUCUCAGCAGUGUCUGAGUUUAAAUAAAUAAAGCAGUGCACCCACCAGUUACCCAGACGAAAACUCUGUUUAAAGUGUGGCAACAAAUCAGCACCAACUUGCUAAGGUAAUGUGCUUAAAUAGGAAGGAUUUGCACUAUACUGAUUUUUUUGAUGUAUUUUUUUGUCAUUGUGAUAUGACCCUUCUUGUACUUUAAAUAGAGUCCCUACAUUUUAAUAUGAAGCCUACAUUUUAUUUGUAUUUUGUCACACUCACUGUUCAUAUGCAUGGAUACAAUUUUUUUGAAAUAGGUAUUGGUCUAGAUGUGAACAAUUAACACCAUUCUUUAACUUCAAACGUGUCAACAGAUCGGUCUUUUCUUUUUUAUUGAAGGUCAGAAAAUUGGUCCACUUGUCAUGAAAUGACCUACAGUAAUGUAUGUUAUGGUUGUGUUGUAAUAUCAUAGAGAUAUUUAAAAAAAACAAAUGUUCCUGAUGCUGAGCAGCCUGGAGCCCGCUACAUGCAAACAAAUUCUGAUGUCAAUCAGUCAUGUUUUACCGAGACCAUUAAUGUUCAUAUACAAUGAGAAGAACCCGGAAGGCUUUGUUUUGGUUCCGUUUAACAUCACAUUGUAUUUAAAUUAGCCAUGUGUGUCUACCAGAAAUAUUUACCUAAAUAGGUGAUCUUUCCAGCUGACCAAAUAGUAAUCACUUUUUAAUCUAAUUGUUAGAUGUAUACUGUAUAUUUGGUUUUUUUUUGAAGAUGGCCCCACCUGUCAUUUAUUCUUUGCUGUUCAGUUUACUGCAGGUGGUUUACAUGUUUUUUGUUUGUUUGAUAAUAUAAAGGCUUAGCCUUUAACAUGAACCGGUUUGGAAUGUGUAAUAUGCUCAUGCUAUAGUAAUUCAGUAACCUCUCUUGCUUUUGCUACAAAAAAUUUCUACCAAAAGCAGUUUUAAUUUAAAAUGAAAUUACAAAUCUGAAUGAAGUAUACCACACAAAUAUGCUCAGGCAUGGUAUGUAGCCACUUUUUUUUUAAUCACUGAUGUUCUGUUGUACUUUAAGGCCAAAUCUCCUUAUAUUUUACAUACAGUGCAAUACAAUGCAAUCUUAUUCUAGUGAUGAAUUCCACCCAGUUGUCAUUUUAUUGGUUGGCAUAAACAUUUGAUUAAAAGUUUGAUCUUGGAUGAAGACCAUGAGCAUGCAAGCUGUUGAUGGCUUAAAUAACAUCCAUUCAGCUGUCAUUCAGAUUUUGUAUUUAACACUGUGCACAUUUUACACAGUUGUAUUGAGCUAUGGUGACCUUUGAUACAAAUCAGAGAUCAAAUCAAUAUUUAAUCUUUAAUUGUUCUCUCCCAAAUCCAUCAAAUAUUUUUAAUCAGAUCAUUCAGGAAAAAGGUUGCUAAAGGAUUUUCUGAAAUGAUAGUCAUGCAAUUCCAUUGAACCUUGCUGGAUGCGCUAAAUGAGUUUGCCCAAUAGUUAAAUAGUUUAAUUGACCUUUGUUUUUGGGUCAGUGGUCAGUGCUUCUUUCUAUUUGCCUGUCCAUCUGUCGGUGUGUUUUGCAUUCUCAGGUUAUUAAAAUCCCAUACAUUUUUAAACAAAUUAUCCCAAUUCAUUCUUGCCAAUGCUGACGAUUUUGUCAUUCACUUAGAAUACCAUGUCCAAGGUCAGAAUAUUGGUCCAGUUGUCAAGUAAUAAUCAUUUAGAGUAUUUUAUACUGUAGUAUCACAUUUCAGAAACAACAAAAAAAGUUUAUCAAUCUCUGUAAGGCUGCAACGUUUGAAAUGUUGAAAUUAGCAUGUGAUAUUCUAUCCAUUUUUUCAAAAGGAAGCCUGAUACAAAUAACCAAAUAAAUUACAACCGGUUCCAGAUUUAACAGUAAAAAGGAGUUGCAUAUUUAUUUAGUGCCCAAAGAGAUGGAAGGGUCCAUUAUUACUGUAUAAUCAAUUCUGCUUUCAUUAUUGGAAAUGCAUUGAGCAGUUUUGUUCAUCUGUGGACAGCACGACUGUUUAAUAUGCUUUAUGAAAAGUAGCCUUAUUAUUCUGGUACUGCAAUUCCACUUUUGUGUCAGAUUAAACUGGCAGUCCAUAUGGGCACCCUGACACCCUGGGAUCCUUCAAGAAGCUGCUUGAUGAGAUUCUGGGAUCAAUAAGCUAAUAACAUCCAAACGAGCAAGAUGGGCUGAAUGGCAUCCUCUCGUUUGUAAACUUUCUUAUGUUCUUAUGUAUGGGUUGUGCUGAGAAGGGGUCCCACGACCAGGAAAAGAUGAGAACCACUGCUGUAGACUGUUAACAAACCACUAACAACGGUCUGCUGGUAUGCAAAGAAAAGCAUAUCAAUACAGCAAAAUACAAGACCAGUGGUCUCACAACCAUCUUAAUCAGGUGAAAGAUUUUAUAUUUGUUUAUGUUCAAGACAUUUGCAGAGAAACAGCCUAAGGUAUUAUUAUUAUUAUUAUUAUUAUUAUUAUUAUUAUUAUUAUUAUUAAUUAGUCAUUUCAUCCAAAGCGACUUACAGAGACUAGGGGGUGAACUAUGCAUCAUAACUUGUGCUGCAGAGUCACUUACAAUAGGACCUCGGAUUUACAUCUCAUCCGAAGGAAGGAGCACAAGGAAGUUAAGUGACUUGCUCAAGGUCACAUACAGUGAGUCAGUGGCUGAGCUGGGAUUGAGCUGGGAAACUUCCUGGUAACAAGCCCCCUUUCUUUAACCACUGGACCACUAAGCCGUUCCAGGCACAUUUUUCCCUGUUAUCUGUGUUAAAUCAACUGCUUGCGGCUUCACUGCAGUGUAGUACUGUUAA